rnacentral:tRNA from 1 species
GGGCCGUUAGCUCAGUUGGUAGAGCAGCAGACUUUUAAUCUGCGGGCCGUAGGUUCGAUUCCUACACGGCUCACCA